AAGUAUACCGUAUAUGGGACCCUACUUUAAAUAAAGGUCAAUUGAAGGAGAACACUUUUUUAUAAAAAUAUUUAAGAAUUCUAAUCAUACAAAAGAAAGUGUGAUGUUAUGUUGUAGAACAAUGUUAGUCCUGUAGUCUAGAAAGGAAAGUCACUCUUACAGUUGUAAUUUUCAGAAUGCUUCUGCUUUUUUUUAUCGUAGUGCCAAUGUACUUAAGUACCAUUAGUUGUCAUUGAAUUAAAAAUGAAAAUUCCUCCCAAGUUUACUUGGAGAUGAAGUUUACAGAAAUAUUUUAAAAUCCCAACAGAAUCUAUUAAAAAACCCAUUGAAUAUAUAGAUAUAACUCUAAACCAUAUCCCACUGCUAGUUGAAUCUCAAGACAAGAGAAUUCUAGUCCAGUAACAUUAAUGCUUUAUUUUACGUAGCUCAAGGAUUGAAACCAAGCUGAGAAACUCACAUGUGAUAUGUUAUUGUUUCAUCCACUUGCUAUUAUAGAAAUCAAACUAAACCCCCACAGUUUGUGCAGCGUUAACUUAAGUGAAAAGGCUUUAUGAUUAAAUAAUAGACUGCACCAUGCCAGCUGUUAAUCUUUUAUGGUAUAUUUUAAACUGGUAGCUAUCUUAAUAGAAUUUUGCAUUCAAUGAAAUACUAAUGCUAGUGUCUUCAAUAAUAGAGAUGCUUGUGGUUGUAGGACACUGUUUUGUAGUAUUUAAUUACAGCCUCUUCAGUUUUAACUUCAUAUCUUGUUGAGGCUGACUAGCUGGUAUUCCUUGAUAAAAUAAGUUAUAUAGUAGAGGGAAUUCUAUAGCCUAAACUUCUUAAUAAUUAGAAAUAUUUUCUUGCUAAGGACAUUAGCAGAAGAAAACAAUAUAUCAACUAAUAACCUGGAUAAAAUAACUAUACUGCAAAUAUAUAAGGAACAAAUGUUAGCAAUGUUAGUCUUUUAGUCAUUUUUAACCAUUUUUAUGCAAAUAUAUUUUAACUUCAUGCAUCUUACACAGCUUAUAGGUAUUAUAAGAUGGUUAGAAUCUCAAAUGGCUACUCAGAAAUUCAUCAGUUACCUUUAAAAUGCUUCACUGUAGUAUACACAAUACCAAUAGCUAUAUAUUAGUUGAUGUACUUAUAUCAUAAUGCUGAAAGCUUCCUGUUGUUAAUGUAACAGUUCAUUCUGCAAAUUUGUUCCUACAGAUUUGGUAAGUUCAAAUACUAAGGAUUUAAUAGAGGAGUUUAGACAGCUGCAUUCUUUCCAUUACUAAAUAUUUGGUACUUAUUUUAUCAAGGGGCAAAGCCAGUCAAUGCUAAUGAUCAAUAUUUAGUUUUGAUUUCUACAAUAGGAAAUGAAUGAGACAAAUCUUUCCCUGAAGGGCUUUUUUUUGUUGUUGUUGUUUUUUUGUUGUGAACAACAUUGGAAACAGACAAACACGUGGUUCAUUUUUUAGUUGAAGAUAUCUGAAAAUAUUGUUAUAUAUACAUUGGCCAGUAUAUGUUAGAAGUGAAUCAAUGUCCAGAGAUUGAUCAUUGAUCAAAGUGACCAAUUAUUGCAUUUGACUGUAACAAAGCUGUUCAUUGUUUUCUUGUGCUAUUAUUUAGCAUUGAUACAGUCCUGUUCCUGAAAUAUUUAUUUUACCUUAUUUUUGUUGGAGCAAAUAAAACCAAUAGUAUUUUAUUAAUUUGUGA
rnacentral:lncRNA from 1 species